rnacentral:misc_RNA from 1 species
GUUAUUUUAUAUUGUAGAAUGAAUGUGUAUGCUUGAUGACUUGAAGUGGGCUUCGAGUAUAUCCAUCAUUUCAUUUGAAAAAGAGCAUGUUGUUGUGUUCUUCUUGGAUGGCAAUUUGCAAUGUUUUGAUGUGCCUAAAUGUAUUAAAGUACCUUUGUAAUUAUGCAUUAAUCUUGGUGUGUACAUUGCCUUCCAUACAAAUUGUCCCUUCAGUCUGCUGCACCUUUAAUAUUAUAAAUGGAAACUUCUGAUAGAAGGGGACAGAUGAAAUUCUGGAUGUUAAGAAUGUUAGUUAUUGAUUUAACGGAGAAGGGAUUACUCUUACAAAGAAAUAGGGAUACUUAACAUGUGAGACUAGUUUGUGUUGGGUUUUUAUAAUUCUGAGCGUUUUAGGAAAAAUAUGCCAAGUGUUCUUUUAGAAGAUUUAGUUUAUACUUGGAAGAUGGAUCUUAGAUAAGCUUCCUUGAAUGUGCAGUGGUGGGCUAGUCUGUU